GCUAAUACCGCAUACGUCCUACGGGAGAAAGUGGGGGAUCUUCGGACCUCGCGCUAUCAGAUGAGCCUAGGUCGGAUUAGCUAGUUGGUGAGGUAAAGGCUCACCAAGGCGACGAUCCGUAACUGGUCUGAGAGGAUGAUCAGUCACACUGGAACUGAGACACGGUCCAGACUCCUACGGGAGGCAGCAGUGGGGAAUAUUGGACAAUGGGCGAAAGCCUGAUCCAGCCAUGCCGCGUGUGUGAAGAAGGUCUUCGGAUUGUAAAGCACUUUAAGUUGGGAGGAAGGGCAGUAAGUUAAUACCUUGCUGUUUUGACGUUACCAACAGAAUAAGCACCGGCUAACUUCGUGCCAGCAGCCGCGGUAAUACGAAGGGUGCAAGCGUUAAUCGGAAUUACUGGGCGUAAAGCGCGCGUAGGUGGUUCGUUAAGUUGGAUGUGAAAGCCCCGGGCUCAACCUGGGAACUGCAUCCAAAACUGGCGAGCUAGAGUAUGGCAGAGGGUGGUGGAAUUUCCUGUGUAGCGGUGAAAUGCGUAGAUAUAGGAAGGAACACCAGUGA
rnacentral:rRNA from 1 species